rnacentral:rRNA from 1 species
AGUGAACGCUGGCGGUAGGCCUAACACAUGCAAGUCGAACGGCAGCACAGUAAGAGCUUGCUCUUACGGGUGGCGAGUGGCGGACGGGUGAGGAAUACAUCGGAAUCUACUUUUUCGUGGGGGAUAACGUAGGGAAACUUACGCUAAUACCGCAUACGACCUACGGGUGAAAGCAGGGGAUCUUCGGACCUUGCGCGAUUGAAUGAGCCGAUGUCGGAUUAGCUAGUUGGCGGGGUAAAGGCCCACCAAGGCGACGAUCCGUAGCUGGUCUGAGAGGAUGAGCAGCCAAACUGGAACUGAGAAACGGCCCAGCCUCCUAGGGGGGGACGCAGGGGGGAAAUUUGAACAAUGGGCGAAAGCCUGACCCAGCCAUCCCGGGUGGGUGAAGAAGGCCUUCGGGUGGAAAAGCCCUUUUUGGGGGAAAAAAAAGCAGCAGGUUAAUCCCCCGCUGUUCUGACGGUACCAAAAAAAUAAGCACCGGCUAACUUCGU